rnacentral:rRNA from 1 species
GAGUGGCGAACGGGUGAGUAACACGUGGGUAACCUGCCCAUCAGAAGGGGAUAACACUUGGAAACAGGUGCUAAUACCGUAUAACAAUCGAAACCGCAUGGUUUCGGUUUGAAAGGCGCUUUUGCGUCACUGAUGGAUGGACCCGCGGUGCAUUAGCUAGUUGGUGAGGUAACGGCUCACCAAGGCAACGAUGCAUAGCCGACCUGAGAGGGUGAUCGGCCACAUUGGGACUGAGACACGGCCCAAACUCCUACGGGAGGCAGCAGUAGGGAAUCUUCGGCAAUGGACGCAAGUCUGACCGAGCAACGCCGCGUGAGUGAAGAAGGUUUUCGGAUCGUAAAACUCUGUUGUUAGAGAAGAACAAGGAUGAGAGUAAAAUGUUCAUCCCUUGACGGUAUCUAACCAGAAAGCCACGGCUAACUACGUGCCAGCAGCCGCGGUAAUACGUAGGUGGCAAGCGUUGUCCGGAUUUAUUGGGCGUAAAGCGAGCGCAGGCGGUUUCUUAAGUCUGAUGUGA